UACAGAGGUCUCAAGCGUUGUUCGGAUUCAUUGGGCGUAAAGGGUGCGUAGGUGGCUCCGUAAGUCGGGUGUGAAAUUUCGGAGCUUAACUCCGAAACUGCAUUCGAUACUGCGGUGCUUGAGGACUGGAGAGGAGACUGGAAUUCAUGGUGUAGCAGUGAAAUGCGUAGAUAUCGUAAGGAAGACCAGUGGCGAAGGCGAGUCUCUGGACAGCAACUGACGCUGAGGCACGAAGGCCAGGGGAGCAAACGGG
rnacentral:rRNA from 1 species